AGUUUCAAAAGUACACACACUUAAUUCAUUAUAGUGCCAGAGUCUGAUCAUUUCCACAAAAGCAAAAGAGGAGGUAGAGUGACCAUUGUCCUUGGUCAAGUCAUCACCCAUUGCUGGGUACAAGUAGUUGAUGCAAUACCCAUAAUACAUCUGCCCAUCUGUAAAACAAUAUAGGAAUGGAACCCUGAGUACGAGGAUGUACUCAGCUAGACUUACCCGUCAUAAAUUAGAAAUAAAAGACUCUUCAAGGAUCAUGAAGGCUAUAGAGUGGGAUAGCUGAACCCCUUUUUGCAUAAAAUCUUUAUCCAUCUAGAUGUAUAUAUUGCUAAAACCCCUUGUUUUCACUUAGCUCAAGUUAAGUAUUAUUACCUACCAUCUAGCUUAGCACCUCUACUAUUGCAAACAGUUGUUUCAAUAUGAUAGUACCAUAUCAUAGCAUUCACAAAUCAUCAUAUACCAAAGUGUUUCACAGUCCUUACUACGAGGACAGGGCUCAUGUCAAGUGCUCACUAUCCAGGAGCAAUGGUGAUUCGAAUCGAUUUUUGACCAGCUGGCGAGUUAUUCCCCACACAAACCAUACUCACUGAUCAAGUGAGCUACAGAUCACUGUAUUACACUAUCCAGGACCAAUUCGCGGGUUCGACAGGCACUGCCCAUACCCGAGGACCGUUCCGGCGACCGAGGUAUCACUACUACAAUAUUUUUAAACCGAGACGGGCCAAAGUGCUUAACCAAGGCGGGCAGACCAACCGCCUCUAACCAAGGGUCACGGUAAAUAAGACCUUUUCCAAGGUGGUUUCCUGCCUGCCACUGUUAAUUGACUAAAAAACAAAAAAAAAUUAAACCCAUGGACAAGCCCAGCAAACCCAUCUAUGGGCCCGGUAAGCCCAUCCAUAGCCCAGCGCCGCCGCAGCUCGUCUAGGCUCUCCCGCACGCCGCCACACAGGAGGAAAAGGAGGCGACCACGUCGCCCCCGCACGGAUCCGCCCCCUCGGCCACCAGAACCGUGCUGUCCGCGCCACGCCGUGUGAGAUCUAGAGGGAGGGGCGCGGCCACCGAAGGGACCCGCGUUGGAGUUGGAGGGCGCGGCGGUGGGGCGGGUAUGUGUGGACGAGCUGCUUGAGGCAGAGCACGAUGAGGCUAGAGAAGAGGAAGCAGGCGAAGGCGAGCACGUGGAUCUAGGCUCUCCUUGCGUGGCUCACCUCGCGCCGCCGCGGACGCCUUGUGCCAUCGUGGGAUCCUCGCGCAACUCGCCCCGUGCCACCGUAGGAGCCUUGUGCCGCCUAGGCCCUCGCCUCGGAGAAAUCUGAGUGGGAGUGGGUGAGAGGUGGAGAACGGGUGAGGAAGGGAGAGAGACGGAGAAAGUGUGAGGGAG
rnacentral:lncRNA from 1 species